rnacentral:rRNA from 1 species
GACGAACGCUGGCGGCGUGCCUAAUACAUGCAAGUAGAACGCACAGUUUAUACCGUAGCUUGCUACACCAUAGACUGUGAGUUGCGAACGGGUGAGUAACGCGUAGGUAACCUGCCUGGUAGCGGGGGAUAACUAUUGGAAACGAUAGCUAAUACCGCAUAAUAUUAAUUAUUGCAUGAUAAUUAAUUGAAAGGUGCAAUUGUACCACUACCAGAUGGACCUGCGUUGUAUUAGCUAGUAGGUGAGGUAACGGCUCACCUAGGCGACGAUACAUAGCCGACCUGAGAGGGGAAUCGGCCACACUGGGACUGGGACACGGCCCAGACUCCUACGGGAGGCAGCAGUAGGGAAUCUUCGGCAAUGGACGAAAGUCUGACCGAGCAACGCCGCGUGAGUGAAGAAGGUUUUCGGAUCGUAAAGCUCUGUUGUAAGAGAAGAACGGGUGUGAGAGUGGAAAGUUCACACUGUGACGGUAUCUUACCAGAAAGGGACGGCUAACUACGUG